ensembl:lncRNA
UACUGUCACUGUACUGUCACUGUACUGUCACUGUCACUGUACUGUACUGUCACUUCACUGUACUGUACUGUCACUGUACUGUCACUGUACUGUCACUGUACUGUCACUGUCACUGUCACUGUAUUGUACUGUCACUGUCACUGUACUGUCACUGUACUGUACUGUCACUGUACUGUACUGUCACUGUCACUGUACUGUCACUGUACUGUACUGUCACUGUACUGUCACUGUACUGUACUGUCACCGUAUUGUACUGUCACUGCACUGUACUGUACUGUACUGUACUGUACUGUACUGUACUGUCACUGUCACUGUACUGUCACUGUACUGUACUGUACUGUCACUGUACUGUCACUGUACUGUCACUGUACUUUACUGUCACUGCACUGUACUGUCACUGUACUGUACUGUACUGUACUGUACUGUACUGUACUGUACUGUACUGUACUGUACUGUACUGUACUGUACUGUACUGUCACUGUACUGUACUGUACUGUACUGUCACUGUACACCAAAAUACUGUACAUCCACAACUUCAAAAAGUACAAAUAAAAAAGACGUGAAAAUAAAAACCUAAAAGGCUGGAAGAUUCUUCUUCAACAGACAACACUCCAUAGAAAGGUAGAAGCUUUGAUUGACAGAAGUCAGAAGUCAAUGUAAUGAACGUGUGGAAAGCUGCACCCUUGUUUUUCCUGUAAACAUCCUGUCCUGUCUUGUGCUUGGUGUUUUCCUCUCAUCUUCUCUGUCCCUUCUCUGGUCUGUUACUUUUCAUCCGACUUGCCAAAAAACACUCACAACUCUUCCUCUCUUCCAUUUCUCCACUCCACUCCACUCCAUUCCCCUUCUUCUUUCUGAAAGUCAAGCAAAGCAACUCCCAGAGGUAAAAGCCUUCCGUCAUCAUUCAGUUGUUGUUUUUUUCUUUUCUUCUAUCAAGGACUUUUCUCUCUCUCUCUCUCUCUCUCUCUCUCUCUCUCUCUCUCUCUCUCUCUCUCUCUCUCUCUCACUCUCUCACUCUCACUCUCUCACUCUGACACAUCUAUCCCACUCCCUUUCCCAGUGGAACAAGCUUUGAACAAACUGAACUGGCGGCAAAAUGUCUUGUGGUAUUCAUGCACAUGCGCAGUCUCUCUUCACACCUCAUCCCCUCACAACCCCCUAGCACCCCCUAAC